rnacentral:misc_RNA from 1 species
AAGUCGUAACAAGGUAACCGUAGGUGAACCUGCGGUUGGAUCAUUAAUGUUAAAAUAGUUUGGCAUUGAUAUUUGAUCAACUUUUUUGGUUGAUCUUGUCAUGCCUGACACAAACACCCCAAUGUUGAACAUAACUGUAACUUUUGGAUAGGAGGUAGUGUCUUGCAUACAUUAAGGGAACCGAAAGGUUGUCUUUUUUCUGCUUUGGCGCGUCCUGUUUAUCCAUAACGCGCCUGUGUGCGUUUCCUUAAAUGGGAAUGACAUGCAGGUAUAAAUCACAUUUGUCAUGGUAGUGUAUUCUACUAAAUACCCUGUCGUUACAUCCUUGCAUUAAUUUGCCAAGAUGAAACAAAAUUUUUUACAACUUUUGACAAUGGAUCUCUUGGCUCUC